GACCGGCNCACGGGUGAGUAACACGUAUCCAACCUGCCGAUGACUCGGGGAUAGCCUUUCGAAAGAAAGAUUAAUACCCGAUGGCAUAGUUCUUCCGCAUGGUAGGACUAUUAAAGAAUUUCGGUCAUCGAUGGGGAUGCGUUCCAUUAGCUUGUUGGCGGGGUAACGGCCCACCAAGGCAUCGAUGGAUAGGGGUUCUGAGAGGAAGGUCCCCCACAUUGGAACUGAGACACGGUCCAAACUCCUACGGGAGGCAGCAGUGAGGAAUAUUGGUCAAUGGGCGCUAGCCUGAACCAGCCAAGUAGCGUGAAGGAUGACUGCCCUAUGGGUUGUAAACUUCUUUUAUAUGGGAAUAAAGUGCAGUAUGUAUACUGCUUUGCAUGUACCUUAUGAAUAAGGAUCGGCUAACUCCGUGCCAGCAGCCGCGGUAAUACGGAGGAUCCGAGCGUUAUCCGGAUUUAUUGGGUUUAAAGGGAGCGUAGGCGGGUUGUUAAGUCAGUUGUGAAAGUUUGCGGCUCAACCGUAAAAUUGCAGUUGAUACUGGCAUCCUUGAGUACAGUAGAGGUAGGCGGAAUUCGUGGUGUAGCGGUGAAAUGCUUAGAUAUCACGAAGAACUCCGAUUGCGAAGGCAGCCUGCUGGACUGUAACUGACGCUGAUGCUCGAAAGUGUGGGUAUCAAACAGGAUUAGAUACCCUGGUAGU
rnacentral:rRNA from 1 species